rnacentral:lncRNA from 1 species
GUACCCUAAAACUUAAAGUAUAAUAAAAAAAAAAAGAAUGAAAUUAAGAUGAUUGGCUAAACCAGCGACUCCCAAAAUGUGGCCCCUGCAUCAGUAACAUCAGCACCACUUGGGAAUUAUUAGAAAUGCAAAUUAUUGAGCUUCAUCUCAGCCAAUAAAAUCAGAAACUCUGAGGGCGGGGCCCUGCAGUCUAUGGCUUAAUGGGCCCUCCAGGUGAUCCUGAUGCAACCAGAAGUUUAGAACCAGCCAAGUAGCUUAGAUUAAUAAACUUGCAUUUCUGGUGCUAUGGUUUGGAUGCAUGUCCCUCCAAAUCUUAUGCUGGAAUUUUAUCCCCAGUUUUGGAGAUGGGGCCUUGUGGAAGAUGUUUGGCUCAUAGGGAUGGAGCCCUCAUGAAUGUCUUGGUCUCAUCCUCAUGGUUAUGAGUGAAUUCUCAAUUCUCACUCUGUUAGUUCCCCCCAAGAGCUGAUUGUUUAAGAGACCUGACACCUUCCCAUUCUCUUUUGUUUCCUCUCUCACCAUGUGAUCAUUGCACACCUUGGCUCUCCUUCACCUUCCAACGUGAGUGAAAGCUUCCUGAAGCCCUCACCAGAAGCAGAUGCAGGAGCCAUGCUUCUUGUACAGCCUGCAGAACUGUGAGUCAAAUAAACCUCUUUUCUUUAUAAAUUACCCAGCCUCUUAGGUAUUACUUUAUAACAACACAAAUGAACUAAGACAUCUGAGCUGGAGAGGAUGGCAGCAUAGGAAGAACCUACUGGUUGCCUGUCCUGAAGGUGGCUACCUAUGCAUGAGAGAGGUGAACUGGAGAGAGCUGGUGGUAUGGAGAGGGGCCCAAGUGAAGCCCACACUCUCCCUGCUUGGCUGGACAAGAAUGAGUGUGUUCUUGGGUCAAGUGGACUCAUGAGAAUGCCUGGGCUGAAACCAUCUUGAAAGGACCCAUACUCAAAGGAAAGACAUUGGCCCCAUGUCCAAAGAUUAGCAACUACAUGUAUAUUGACAUGGUAUUAAAUAAAAUGAAAUGUUUAAGAUACAUUUGUAGGGCUGGGGUGCUGGCUCAUGCCUAUAAUCCCAGCAGUUUG